GCAGGAAGGAUGCGCUGCAGGCUUUAGCAGAGACAAGGAAAGUGUAGUUUACAGUUCUGACGGAAGAUAAAUGACAGCUCAUAUUGCAGCCUGGACAUCUUACAUUUGGAAUUCGUAGGACUUUUUACACACACAAAGAAAGUUGGAUUUUGAAUGAAGCAACACAUCUGCCAGUACCUUCAAGAUGGCUACCAGAUAUGAAAAACGAAAGCAUAAUUGUAAAAUCAGAAGAACUCCAGAUCUGACAAAGAAGCAACAUGAAAAACGAAGACAGUGAAAUGACACCAACCCGCAUUUUAAGAGUAUGCUGUGUCUCAACUGAUAGCGGGUACAAGACAAACACCUCAGAUGAUGUAAAAUAGGGUCUAAGCUACAACAACCAUUGCAAAAAUGUAAAAAAAAUCGUAGUUUAUGCAUUUCUAGAUAAUUGACGGUAAAAAUAGUUUUAAAAUGACAAUUUUCAUUUAAAAAAUAAUUUGACAACCCUGUUUGCAAGCUUUUAAAUGAUAUCAAACUCAACUGUUUAUAUUUUCCAGUGAUGAAGACAUGAUAUUGUGGGGCUGUGCAAAAUGGGUGAACUUUGAACACCUCAAUCUCUUAAAUGUUUUGUUAUUCAGGUCCAAAAAGUAACUUUCUGACCUCUUCUACCUUGGACAAAUAUGUAUGGGAAGUUUUGUUCAAAACAAAAAGGGUGUGGUCAAAAGAGAUUGAAAUCAAAUGAAACAACCAACUAUUUCAAGGCUACUCACUCUUGAUCCAGGAUUCUCUAAUGUAACAAAGAAGCUUGAGCUUGCAAGCUUGCCACCUAUAGUUAGCAAACCAACUCAUAGCUGGAGAAAAUGUAUUUGGCACAAUUAUAGUUACAGUGCCUUCAGAAAGUAUUCAUACCCCCUUGACCUAUUCCACAUUUUCCUGUGUUACAGCAUGAAUUCAAAAUUGAUUCAAUAUUUUUUUUCUCAC